GGAUAGAUGACUGAAUUGGUUUAAGGUAUCUUACUUGAAAUAAGAAGGUUUAUUACCAUCUGGGUUCAAAUCCCAGUCUAUCCG